UUUGAAAAAAAUAUUAUAUUUAUAAAUUAGGUACCUACACCAUAAGCCACAAAGGCCAAUACAAAUUGCGACAAAGGGUUAACAUAAAGAUAGAAAGCAUAAUAAACACGUAGGGUUAAUCUAGAUACAUAGAGACACAUGGCAACAUUAAACACACACAUGAGAACAAAGAAAUUUCGGCAUAAAAGUCGCAACCCUGAACAAGCCAGACAUGAAUCGCAAUGCCUAAAACUACUAAUACAACUACAAAUUUUAAACUCUCACAAGUAGAAACUA
rnacentral:lncRNA from 1 species